CCUACGGGGGGCAGCAGUGGGGAAUAUUGCGCAAUGGGCGCAAGCCUGAUCCAGCAACGCCGCGUGAAUGAAGAAGGCUUUCGGGUUGUAAACUUCUUUUGUCAGGGACGAAGCUAGUGACGGUACCUGACGAAUCAGCCACUGCUAACUACGUGCCAGCCGCCGCGGUACUACGUAGGGGGCAAGCGUUAUCCGGAUUUACUGGGUGUAAAGGGAGUGUAGGCGGGGAGGCAAGUCAGAUGUGAAAGCCGCGGGCUCAACCUGUGGCCUGCAUUUGAAACUGUUUUUCUGGAGUGCAGGAGAGGUAAUUGGAAUUCCGAGUGUAGCGGUGAAAUGCGUAGAUAUUCGGAGGAACACCAGUGGCGAAGGCGGAUUGCUGGACAGUAACUGACGCUGAGGCGCGAAAGCGUGGGGAGCAAACAGGAUUAGAUACCCGGGUAGUC
rnacentral:rRNA from 1 species